UCGGGAUCUUCUGAAUCGGAUGGUUUAGAUUCAUGCUUCGCAGCAGCCUGCAACACUCGGCUUUGAACAUCUGACGAUGAGGGUGAUGUUGGAAGUCCAAUGCCAUUGGUUUCUAAGUUACCGGAAACCCAUGAAAGCGCCUGAGCUCCAAAUCUGACAGGAGCUAGCAACAACCUUCAAGAAGCAUUUCAGUUGGAAGAACAAACUGUGGUCAAGGCAUGGUGAAACCC